UACGAAGGGGGCUAGCGUUGCUCGGAUUCACUGGGCGUAAAGGGCGCGUAGGCGGUUUGCAUAGUCAGACGUGAAAUUCCUGGGCUUAACCUGGGGGCUGCGUUUGAUACAUGCAGGCUUGAGUUCGGAAGAGGGUCGUGGAAUUCCCAGUGUAGAGGUGAAAUUCGUAGAUAUUGGGAAGAACACCGGUGGCGAAGGCGGCGACCUGGUCCGAUACUGACGCUGAGGCGCGAAAGCGUGGGGAGCAAACAGG
rnacentral:rRNA from 1 species